AUGUUAUAUGAAAGAAGAUAAGGAUAGCUCUGACCUUGACAAGGAUGGAAUGGUCUCUGGGCCUAUGACACCUACACUGGGUUAAGGCACAGGCUGGCUACUUCACAACCAUCUUACCACAUUUUUGA